AUUUAUGAUUGUCUGGUGCCGUUAGCUUCUCUGGUGUCGUUAGCUUCUCUGGUGUCGUUAGCUAUUUCUACUUCUGGUCAUCAUGUUGGUUUUUUUUUCUUUAGAUAUGUAAUAGGACAAACAUGCUCUUUAACAGUUUAGUGGGAUUUCUUAACUCAUAAGGGACACAGGUAAUGUGUUUACUUCCUGUAAAUAGAGCAGUAAAUCUGAUGUCCAUAUAUGUAUUUUGUAUUUAUCUGUUUUAACUCCUUAUUUUGACACAAAGACGCAGUCAUAUCUGUAGCAUGUUCUACUGCAUCAAAAUACAGUACAUGUCUCAGGAUUACACUCACCGGCCACUUUAUUAGGUACACCAUGCUAGUACCGGGUUGGACCCCUUUUUAAUUCUUGGUGUCACAGAUUAAAAAGGUAUUAGAAAGAUAGAAAGGUGCUCUGUUGGACUGAGAUCUGAUGACUGUGGAGGCCAUUGGAGUAUAUUGUAGGAUGACUCUGAGCAGUUUGACAACCUGCUAUCUAUCAUCAAGCAGUAUAGCUCUGGGCAUCGAACAACAGCGACCACCAGUUUCUCCUCCAUUGUUUACCAGCUGUAAACUUGUUGUCGUGACGACCACAGAAGGCCCGCCUCUGAAAUCAUCCAGUUGGGCAAUGGGCGGAGAAAAAGAUGAAAAAAUAAAUGACCUGGGGCACUUCUCCGCUCUGAGUUUAAGUUUUUUCAACUCGAGUAGUUCAGAGCAUUCUGACAAAAACGCCAGGUGCGUAGAACACAGAAAUGUGAGGCGUGUCGCAACACAAAAGCAGCGAGCAAAAAGCUUCACUCUCAUUGAACGCUAUUACAAAAAGCCACCUCCAGCUGCUGAAACGCUUUCUGUGUGAUCAGGGCCUAAAUGUGUGAUGUUAAGGUGAGGGCUGGAACACAGACCCAGCCACCAUUGGACUCCUCAACAGCAUCAUGUGACAUGUUUUUUACUUGUUGUGUAUUGUGUGUGUGUGCUUGAUAUCUCUUUACUGUUAUUCACUGCUGGCUGCACAAAGACUUGUCCCUCGGGGAUAAUAAAGUUUACCUUACCUUACCUUA